rnacentral:rRNA from 1 species
CCUACGGGCGGCAGCAGUGAGGGAUAUUGGUCAAUGGGGGAAACCCUGAACCAGCAACGCCGCGUGAGGGAAGACGGUUUUCGGAUUGUAAACCUCUAUCCUCAGGGAAGAUAAUGACGGUAGCUGAGGAAGAAGCUCCGGCUAACUACGUGCCAGCAGCCGCGGUAAUACGUAGGGGGCAAGCGUUGUCCGGAUUUACUGGGUGUAAAGGGUGCGUAGGCGGCAUUGCAAGUCAGAAGUGAAAUCCAUGGGCUUAACCCGGGAACUGCUUUUGAAACUGUAGGGCUGGAGUGAAGUAGAGGCAGGUGGAAUUCCUGGUGUAGCGGUGAAAUGCGUAGAGAUUGGGAGGAACACCAGUGGCGAAGGCGGCCUGCUGGGCUGUAACUGACGCUGAAGCACGAAAGCGUGGGUAGCAAACAGGAUUAGAUACCCGAGUAGUC